UAUAAUUUUUGACUCUUCGUCUUAUUUAAAAAAUUUUUGCGAUUGAUAUUUUUAUUUUUAUUAGAUGAUAAAUCAUAAAUAGUACUUUACGUGUGACUAAUUUUUUUCUAAUUUUUUAAAUUUUUUAAAAUAAAACAAAUGAUUAAACGUUGGACAUAGAAAUCGAAG
rnacentral:pre_miRNA from 1 species